UUCUAAGGGCGUUGAAGCAUGAUCGCAAGGACAUGUGGAGCGCUUAGAAGUGAGAAUGCCGGUGUGAGUAGCGAAAGACGGGUGAGAAUCCCGUCCACCGAUUGACUAAGGUUUCCAGAGGAAGGCUCGUCCGCUCUGGGUUAGUCGGGUCCUAAGCUGAGGCCGACAGGCGUAGGCGAUGGAUAACAGGUUGAUAUUCCUGUACCACCUAUAAUCGUUUUAAUCGAUGGGGGGACGCAGUAGGAUAGGCGAAGCGUGCGAUUGGAUUGCACGUCUAAGCAGUAAGGCUGAGUAUUAGGCAAAUCCGGUACUCGUUAAGGCUGAGCUGUGAUGGGGAGAAGACAUUGUGUCUUCGAGUCGUUGAUUUCACACUGCCGAGAAAAGCCUCUAGAUAGAAAAUAGGUGCCCGUACCGCAAACCGACACAGGUAGUCAAGAUGAGAAUUCUAAGGUGAGCGAGCGAACUCUCGUUAAGGAACUCGGCAAAAUGACCCCGUAACUUCGGGAGAAGGGGUGCUCUUUAGGGUUAACGCCCAGAAGAGCCGCAGUGAAUAGGCCCAAGCGACUGUUUAUCAAAAACACAGGUCUCUGCUAAACCGUAAGGUGAUGUAUAGGGGCUGACGCCUGCCCGGUGCUGGAAGGUUAAGAGGAGUGGUUAGCUUCUGCGAAGCUACGAAUCGAAGCCCCAGUAAACGGCGGCCGUAACUAUAACGGUCCUAAGGUAGCGAAAUUCCUUGUCGGGUAAGUUCCGACCCGCACGAAAGGCGUAACGAUUUGGGCACUGUCUCAACGAGAGACUCGGUGAAAUCAUAGUACCUGUGAAGAUGCAGGUUACCCGCGACAGGACGGAAAGACCCCGUGGAGCUUUACUGUAGCCUGAUAUUGAAAUUCGGCACAGCUUGUACAGGAUAGGUA
rnacentral:rRNA from 1 species